CCUGGCGGCCGAUGUGAGUGAACCGGUCCCAGAGCGUGAUUGCCCGGGAUUAGAGGAGGACCAGGCCCAGCGGGGCGGAUCCCCAGAGUCCCUCCCCAGGGCCCACACUCUGGGAAGAAGCUGGUCCAAGGGUGUGCCAAUAGCAGGGACAACUCCAGGUUGCCUCUCAGUUGGGGACAGGGUGACCCAGCUUCUUGGUCCUCAAGGACAGAGAGGGAGAAUUCUGAGUGGUCAUCGGAGGGAACCAAGACCUUCUACCCAUGACCUGGAAGCAGCCUGGAUGGCCAAAAGGAGGAGGAAAGCACUCUUGUCAGUUGAGAGGACCCGAGCUUCUCUUGAUUGGAAUCAGCUCCUUGGCUUCUACCUCCCUGAAAAAAAGAAAGGCCAGUCGAGCACACAGUGAGAAGGCAGCUGACUGCAAGCCAGAAAGCUCCUCUCAGGAUCCAAAUCUGCCAACACCCCGACCUAGGACACCCCAGGCUCCAGAACUGAGAUAAAUAAAUGUCUGCAGUUUAAUCCACCUAGCCUAUUGCAUUUUGCUAUAGCAGCUUGAGGUCUCAGAAGGAUCAGUAGUUGGUAUCUGAAAAUAUAUGACACAGAGAGUCAAAGGAGGUACAGAAUGGGUCUCUUGGAAUGGACACUGUGUAAAGAUAUUCAUAUCCCAUGUAGCUGAACAGCAUUUGAACACUCUCUGCAAAAGAGGCCUCAGUAAUCUGGUGGACAAAAUGACACACUGCACAAUGUCAGUUGACCUCGUUCCCAGCCAUGCCAGUGUUUGCCCAAUGGGCUCAUAAACAAAGGGACUAUGGUUGCAGGCAUGGGGACUGGACAUGGUCUUCCACUUACCAAGGCUGAGCUGGAUGCUGCUGCCACCUAGUGGCUAAGAUGCCAACAGCAGAGAACAACAGGGAGCCCCAGCACCAUUCCUUGAGGGACCAGCUAGCCACCUAGUGGCAGGUUGAUUCCAUUGCACCUCUGUCGUCAUGGAAGGGGUACAAAUUCUGGAUAUAUAUUUGUUUUCACUGCUAUAAUGCUUCUUCCUGCACCAACAUCCCUAGACUCUUGGGAUGUCUUAGCCACCAUCAUGGUAUUCCCCACAGCACUGUAUCUAAUUGAGGAACCUUUUUCACAGCCAAAGAAGUGCAACAUGGAUUAACUGGUCUUAGCAUACACACCAUUGCCCAGAAGCAACUGACCUAGUUAAAAGCGGAGUGGCUUACUGAAGACUCGGUUAUGGCGCAAGUUGAGAGAUGACACCCUGAAAUAGAAAUAUCGUAGUUCUGUCUUGCAGGAUGCAAUUUAUGCUUUGAAUCGAAGACCAUGAACUGGUACAGUCUCUCCCAGAGACAUGAUACUUAUGUCCGGGAAUCAGGAGAUAGAAGUAGGAAUGGUUUCUUUCAUAAUUAGUCUCCAUAAUUCACUCAAAGAAUUUUGCUUUUGUCCUGGCUGCUUUGAGAUCUUCCGCUUUGGAGAUCUUCGUUCCAAAGAAGAUAAUACUUCCACCAGGGGGCGCUGCAGUGGUUCCACUGUGUUGAAACCAACAGAAAAAGAGGCUGCUCUUCUGGUGGGACUAAUUGAUCCUGAUUACUAAGGAAAAACUGAGCGCAGCCACACCAGGGAGCAGGAAGACUUUGUCCGGAACCCAGGACACUAAGCAUCUUAGGACUUCUUAGCACUCAGAGCCUUAAAGAAUGAAGGUUUACAUCCACCACCAGGUAAAGAGACCUGUGACCAGCUGAGGUUCUAGCUGAGGACAAGAAAAAUAUCGAAUUGAUAGAGGAAGAAAGAUGUCAUAGACAUUAACUAUGAUCUCAUGACUAGGUUACCACAUU